CUUGCUUCUCUUGAGAGCGGCGGACGGGUGAGUAAUGCCUAGGAAUCUGCCUGGUAGUGGGGGAUAACGUUCGGAAACGGACGCUAAUACCGCAUACGUCCUACGGGAGAAAGCAGGGGACCUUCGGGCCUUGCGCUAUCAGAUGAGCCUAGGUCGGAUUAGCUAGUUGGUGGGGUAAUGGCUCACCAAGGCGACGAUCCGUAACUGGUCUGAGAGGAUGAUCAGUCACACUGGAACUGAGACACGGUCCAGACUCCUACGGGAGGCAGCAGUGGGGAAUAUUGGACAAUGGGCGAAAGCCUGAUCCAGCCAUGCCGCGUGUGUGAAGAAGGUCUUCGGAUUGUAAAGCACUUUAAGUUGGGAGGAAGGGCAGUAAAUUAAUACUUUGCUGUUUUGACGUUACCGACAGAAUAAGCACCGGCUAACUCUGUGCCAGCAGCCGCGGUAAUACAGAGGGUGCAAGCGUUAAUCGGAAUUACUGGGCGUAAAGCGCGCGUAGGUGGUUAGUUAAGUUGGAUGUGAAAUCCCCGGGCUCAACCUGGGAACUGCAUUCAAAACUGACUGACUAGAGUAUGGUAGAGGGUGGUGGAAUUUCCUGUGUAGCGGUGAAAUGCGUAGAUAUAGGAAGGAACACCAGUGGCGAAGGCGACCACCUGGACUGAUACUGACACUGAGGUGCGAAAGCGUGGGGAGCAAAC
rnacentral:rRNA from 1 species